CUGUGACAUAAACCAGUCUAUUUCCAGCCUGAGCCAUCUAUGCUGCCUCCUUAAGAGUGAAGCCUGCCUACACUUUGAGAAGCUGAAUACAAACUGAAGACUCACCUUUUCGCUGUGGUCACAGACAUCCAGGCAGCCUCGCUUCUUUCCUGAAAGUCGGACGUUCCCAUGGUCCCUCCUCUUCAAGGAAUCAGCCAUCCCAGGACUCGUUAACACCAAGUGAUCUGUAACUUUAAUUCAUGUCAAUCUGGUUAUGUACUUGAAAAUUGCCAGGAUAUUUUUGAAUUAUCAGUAUCAUUAAAGCUCAGACACAUGUGGAUAAUGAACAAUCCUUCCCCUUCACCUAUAAAAAUCCAAAGCUGACAUUGAAUUUAUGCUAUUUAACAUAAAAUUUCUUGGCAUUUUUUAAACAAACUGUAUAAGGACUGAAUUACUGCACAAAGUAUUGCCUGCUUUUCGAAGACUGAGACCACAUGAUUUAAAUGUAACAAUUUUUUUUUUUUUGAGAUGGAGUCUUACUCUGUCGCCCAUGCUGGAGUGCAGUGGUGUGAUCUCAGCUCACUGCAACCUUGG
rnacentral:lncRNA from 1 species